rnacentral:tRNA from 1 species
GAGGGUAUAGCUCAGUGGUAGGGUGCAUGCUUAGCAUGCAUGAGGUCCUGGGUUCAAUCCCCAGUACCUCCU